rnacentral:lncRNA from 1 species
CUGGAGUGGAAGGUGCAACCAGGAAUCUGGCAGACUAGUCAGGUUCAGUGUUGAAACUCCAGCACAAUGCAUGGGUGUGAACCAUCUGGGUCACAAUCACUGAUGGGGAAGAAGCAGCUAUUGUGCUGUCAGGCCAGGUAUUCCUUGUGCAGUAGACAGCUGGCCUUGCAAGGGCCAGACAUGGGUUGAGCAGAGGCAGAGGCAGGCAGAGCUGACAUAGCCCAUGCCUGUUUCAGAGAUGGUGAAAGCAGAACUAUUCUGCUGAGCCUCUCUUUCUCUUCUUGGGGCUGUCUGUAAGCAGCUGGCUGACUCUAAUAUCCAGGCUUGUGAGAAUCAGCUCUGUUCCUCUCUCUGUCGUGUGUGGGCCAGCUGCAUCCCCACUGGUCCUCAUUUCCCCUGCACUGAGCUCAUUCACUCCCUGGGGAUUAAUUUGACUGUGAAUACUGUGGACUCUGAAGUGUGGGAAAACUGGAGACACAAACAACAGAAGCCUUAAUGCUACAGGGGCAGAGAGUAGCAUCUUUUCCUUGGUUAGCAUCACAUGAGACCUGGCAGGCCGUUUUGUUGCUGGUGACAUUCCGUAAUCAAAGACACUUCUACCCAGUGACUCAGGGAGGCAGCCUGCUGCUGAGCAAAGAGGAGGCAGGUCUGCAAGCUGGAGUUCAGAGAAACUUAGGAUCGUAUGAGGAUGAUCAGUCCAGAGCUCUCAGAAUCAAAGAGAUCCCCCAGUGUGUCCUGUUUUUACAAGGGACCUCCUUUUUACCUACCAAACACCUGACAGAAGGGGACCCAGUCACAGCUUGGGAUGAGCCAAUCCAAUUGCCUCUCUGAAGAUUUGAACAGAGGGACCCUAGAGAGUUUUCCAAGUAUUGGGGCUGCAGGAAGAGGCAUGUGUCUGUCUAUGUAAUGCUCGAAGGUGUGCAUGAGCUGAGAAGCCAUGAGGAAAUAGAGAAAGGCACUUCUCUGGCUUGAAACACUGACUUUGUGAUCUCUGAGGAGAUGCUGGGGUAGUCUUGGUGUCUGCUUGCACCUCUGGUUCUGAGGAAGCUGUGUGUCCCUCCAUGUGCUGCCCCUGGAUUUUGUGCACUCCCCUGUAUCCUUACAAACAUGCCUGCUACGGGUUUGCCUGGGAUGACUAUGUUUGUCACUCACAAUUACUACAGUUUGUCCAAGAUGGAAAUGGGGUCAACAGGGCUGUAGUUUCUCCUUUGAAAACAAACUGCUUUUUUUUUUUUUUUUUGAGACAGAGUCUCGCUCUGUUGCCAGGCUGGAGUGCAGUGGCACGAUCUCGGCUCACUGCAACCUCUACCUCCCCGGUUCAAGCAAUUCUCCUGCCUCAGCCUCAUGAGUAGUUGGAACUGCAGGUGAGGGCCACCACGCCCAGUUAUUUUUGUAUUUUUAGUAGAGACAGGGUUUCACCAUGUUGGCUAGGAUGGCCUCUAUCUCCUGACCUCAUGACCUACCGGGCUUGGCCUCCCAAAGUGCUGGGAAUUACAGGUGUGAGUCACCGCGUCCAGCCAGAACAUACUGCUUUAUAUGUAUGCAUGACAUUUAUAACAGUUAUUUGCAAGAGUUGAAUAUGAAGAUGCAGUUGUCAAAAUAGAAAGAGAACAUUUUUUUCUGUUGGAAUUAAGUGGGUCCCAAUUCCUCCGAUGACCCUUGAAUGCAGUUUGUCAAAAAGGGGCUGGGUGUGGUGGCUCACGCCUUUAAUCCCAGGACUUUGGCAGGCCAAGGCUGGCGGAUUACUGGAGGUCAGGAGUUUGCGACUAGACUGGCCAACACGGUGAAACCCUGUCUCUACUAAAAAUACAAAAAUUAGCUGGGCAUGGUGGUGCGUGACUGUAAUCCCAGCUACUCAGGAGGUUGAGGCACGAGAAUUGCUUCAACCUGGGAGGUAGAGAUUGGAGUGAGCCAAGAUCACGCCACUGCACUCCAGCCUGGGGUGCAGAGUGAAACUGUCUCAGAAAAAAAAGAAAAAGAAAAAGAAAAAAGAGAGCAGGCCAUCUUCAAGUGCUAAGACCCUUCCCAUUUCUCAAUGAACCUGCAGCUCAGUCAGGGAGACAAAAGUAACACCUGCAACAACCGGAGAACAGGAACAAUGUUCAUGGCAGGAAUAAUGACAUGCUACGUCAUGUGGUACUGACCAGAUGUGAACUCAGUCAGAGGAGGGGAAGUCAGAACAGACUGCAGCUGCCAGAAAUGACUGAAGGAGGCAAGAGGUAGCUGCAAAAAAGGAGGGCUCAGCUCCUGAGUGUGGAGUGGAGUGGAGUUAGGGUGGAGGAGGGUGUCAGCGGGCACAGGGAGGUAGCAUGAACCAUAUGUCUGUGGGUGGAUAGUCCACGUGUGAGUGAGUGCGUGCCGAGUGUCUCUGCAGAUAGGGCCCCACCUCACCUUGAACCUACAGUCCACUUGGACAGACAAGAUGUGCAGAGAUGAAAAUGCAUCAGAAAUGGACUGCAAGGCAUGACAUAGCCAAGAGCCAAAGACAUGUCCUGAGAAGGAAGAGUUCUUUACAAUCUAGGUGAGGGGUGGGUUGGCUGGAACACAUGGAACAGAAUAGACAUACUGAAAACUGGUGAGCAUUGGAGUGGUUUGGAAACGAGGCUGGCAAAGCCAGUGGGCCAGAUGAUGAGAGGUGUGAACCUAGGCUUGCAGUAAGGAAUGACGGGACUUUUCAAACUUCUUUGGGGAAUGGAAGCUUUUUUUUGAGACAGAGUCUUGCUUUGUUGCCCAGGCUAAAGUGCAGUGGCAUGAUCUCGGCUCACUGCAACCUCCACCUCCUGGGUUCAAGUGAUUCUCCUGCCUCAGCCUCCCGAGUAGCUGGGAUUACAGCCGUGUGCCACCAUGCCUGGCUAAUUUUUAUAUUUUUAGUAGAGACAGGGUUUCACCAUGUUGGCCAGGCUGGUCUCGAACUCCUGAUCUCAGGUGAUCCACCCACCUUGGCCUCCCAAAGUGCUGAGAUUACAGGUAUGAGCCACCAUGCCCGGCUGAAGCUUUUUCUAAAAAAAAAAAAAAAAAAAAAAAAUUGUAAGUGGAAGCUCAGUACAUGAAACAGAUGAAACAGAUAAGUUCUGGGUGAAGGGGAAAGUGAGUCCAGGAGCCAAAUUCCAUGAUCCCCACCCUACCCUUGAGGUCUGUUCACGAUACCUAGGUGUACCUCUGGAAGCUGCUUGAAAGUCCAGACCAGCGGGAACCAGUAGGGAGUUGCAAAUGGUAGAUGAUUGGGCGUAUAGCCUCACAGGGAGCUUAUUGCAGGGUGAACUGGCAUAGGAAAAGAGUAAGGAGAGGUGAACAAAAGAGGUCACUGUGAAGGAAUUCAGGUGUGAGGUGCUGAGGG